rnacentral:rRNA from 1 species
AGCAGCCGCGGUAAUUCCAGCUCCAAUAGCGUAUAUUAAAGUUGUUGCAGUUAAAAAGCUCGUAGUUGAACUUCAGGCCUGUCCAGAUGGUCCGCCUUAAUUGGUGUGUACUGUCCUUGGGUGGGUCCUACCUUCUGGCGAAGCGGCAUGGCCUUAAUUGGUUGUGUUGGGGAACCAGGACUUUUACUGUGAAAAAAUUAGAGUGUUCAAAGCAGGCAUAUAUGCUCGAAUACAUUAGCAUGGAAUAAUGGAAUAGGACGAUGGUUCUAUUUUGUUGGUUCUAGGACCGUUGUAAUGAUUAAUAGGGAUAGUUGGGGGCAUUAGUAUUCAAUUGUCAGAGGUGAAAUUCUUGGAUUUAUUGAAGACUAACUACUGCGAAAGCAUUUGCCAAGGAUGUUUUCAUUAAUCAAGAACGAAAGUUAGGGGAUCGAAGACGAUCAGAUACCGUCGUAGUCUUAACCAUAAACUAUGCCGACUAGGAAUCGGGCGAUGUUGACAAAAUGACUCGCUCGGUACCUCAUG